UCAGGGCUCUCAGAAGUUAGUCCCUUCAGCGUUCUCAACAUCUCUACACUCAACUGUCGACAUCCACUGCCCUAGAAUCGCUAAGCGCAUGAGAUACAAGGUGGUCAUCUUGCCUCAGUAUGACCGCAUAUGGAUUGUCAUGUACGGCUUCGAAUAUCUUCUCUUCAAAGACUAUGGCCAUUGGCAGGAGUUUCGUACUUUUUGUUGGAGGUAUAUUUGAGUUUAACCUGCUUUAAAGCUCACCUGCCGCAAAGAGCUCUUAUAUCACUGUCCACUUCAGACGAAACCAUGCAUUUAGACC
rnacentral:sRNA from 1 species